GCGCGAAAACUUCGCACUGUGCGAAAGCACGACGAGGGAAUCCCAAGUGCUAGCUCGUUAGAGUUAGCUGUUUUUAUGUCUAAAAAGCAUAGAGAGUAAGAGCUGGGUAAGACGGGUGCCAGCCGCCGCGGUAAUACCUGCAGCUCGAGUGGUGGCCGCUAUUAUUGGGCCUAAAACGUCCGUAGCCUGUUUACUAAAUGCCUAGGUAAAUCGUACGGCUUAACCGUACGAAUUCUGGGUAGACUGGUAAACUUGAGAUCGGGAGAAGCUAGAGGUACUCCUGGGGUAGAGGUGAAAUUCUGUAAUCCUAGGGGGACCACCAGUGGCGAAGGCGUCUAGCUAGAACGAGUUUGACGGUGAGGGACGAAGCCCUGGGGCGCAAACGGGAUUAGAUACCCGGGUAGUCCUAGCCGUAAACGAUACUCGCUAGGUGUCGGCCACGGUGCGACCGUGGUCGGUGCCGUAGGGAAGCCGUGAAGCGAGCCACCUGGGAAGUACGGCCGCAAGGCUGAAACUUAAAGGAAUUGGCGGGGGA
rnacentral:rRNA from 1 species